rnacentral:rRNA from 1 species
UACGUAGGGUGCGAGCGUUAAUCGGAAUUACUGGGCGUAAAGCGUGCGCAGGCGGUCUGUUAAGACCGAUGUGAAAUCCCCGGGCUUAACCUGGGAAUGGCAUUGGUGACUGCACGGCUAGAGUGUGUCAGAGGGGGGGUAGAAUUCCACGUGUAGCAGUGAAAAUGCGUAGAGAUGUGGAGGAAUACCGAUGGCGAAGGCAGCCCCCUGGGAUAACACUGACGCUCAUGCACGAAAAGCGUGGGGGAGCAAACAGG